rnacentral:lncRNA from 1 species
AUCCGCCGGAAGGAGGGCGCAGCAUUGCCGGUCUUCUCAUUGCCUGGCUGCUAGAGGAAACCCGAAGUCGGGAUUCUUUCUUUCCUGCUCUGAGAGGGACCAGGUCCCUCCUCCGUAGCUUUUGUCUCUCUAUUGCCUGCGCCGUGUCCUGGACUGCUCACGGGAGUUCUGCAGGAGACGCCGGAAUAUCUGGAAGCUGAAAAAUGGAAAUAAAUGGAAAGACCAGAAUAUUGAAGAUCACUACAGAAAUCUAAGACAUCAGCCAACUGGAAACACAGACUCUCUGUGACAAUAAGAAACCAAAUUACAAACAAGACCUAAGGCCAUGCAAGGCAAGAGGUGACUCCCACGACCAGUGCGGGUCACAGCACAGGCGACAGAAGCUAUGGCAGAGGCACCUGAACCCUCUCGGAGGGGAAAGCCAGGCUCCCAACCUCAGCUCGCCGCCUGGAGCCGGGAACCGAGGAGAGCAGGGCCUUCGCCCUCCCCGAUGGACACUCGGCAGGCCCCGCCCAGCGCCCCUGAUUGGACGAAGCGCCGGGCCCCGCCCCCUCAGCCUUUUGAGUCAGGGUCUCACCCUGUGGCCCAGGCUGCCCUCCAGUGAUGCCAUCAUGACUCAGUGCAACCUCAAACUCCCAGGUUCAAGCGAUCUUCCAUCCUGACCUCCAAAAGGGCUGGAUUAUACACAUAAGCCAUGUCACACUUUAUAUGUUUCUAGGGAAGCUUUUCUAAGAAUAAAUACAUUGGAACU